GAGUUUGAUCAUGGCUCAGGAUGAACGCUGGCGGCGUGCCUAAUACAUGCAAGUCGAACGAAACUUCUUUAUCACCGAGUGCUUGCACUCACCGAUAAAGAGUUGAGUGGCGAACGGGUGAGUAACACGUGGGCAACCUGCCCAAAAGAGGGGGAUAACACUUGGAAACAGGUGCUAAUACCGCAUAACCAUAGUUACCGCAUGGUAACUAUGUAAAAGGUGGCUAUGCUACCGCUUUUGGAUGGGCCCGCGGCGCAUUAGCUAGUUGGUGAGGUAAAGGCUUACCAAGGCAAUGAUGCGUAGCCGAACUGAGAGGUUGAUCGGCCACAUUGGGACUGAGACACGGCCCAAACUCCUACGGGAGGCAGCAGUAGGGAAUCUUCCACAAUGGGCGAAAGCCUGAUGGAGCAACGCCGCGUGGGUGAAGAAGGUCUUCGGAUCGUAAAACCCUGUUGUUAGAGAAGAAAGUGCGUGAGAGUAACUGUUCAUGUUUCGACGGUAUCUAACCAGAAAGCCACGGCUAACUACGUGCCAGCAGCCGCGGUAAUACGUAGGUGGCAAGCGUUAUCCGGAUUUAUUGGGCGUAAAGGGAACGCAGGCGGUCUUUUAAGUCUGAUGUGAAAGCCUUCGGCUUAACCGGAGUAGUGCAUUGGAAACUGGGAGACUUGAGUGCAGAAGAGGAGAGUGGAACUCCAUGUGUAGCGGUGAAAUGCGUAGAUAUAUGGAAGAACACCAGUGGCGAAAGCGGCUCUCUGGUCUGUAACUGACGCUGAGGUUCGAAAGCGUGGGGAGCAAACAGG
rnacentral:rRNA from 1 species